GCGGGCGUCCCGGGGCCGCGCGGCCGCGCCGCAGAAGGUGAAGGAGCAGCGCGAGGCGCGCAGCCGCUGCACCGUGGCGCGCACGAGCGCGGCCGGUCGGCGCCCCCAGCGCGCCCACAGGUACAGCAUAAUAGAUUUUAAAACAGAGAGAGAAUCGGAAAAGAAAGAAUCAGCCUCAAAAACAAGAUUUGGGUUGCUCUGGACUCUGCGCUAGACUAUUCCAAACUGGUGUGGAGAACAGACUAGGAAAAGACCACAGACGAGGGAUUCAGAAGCAAGACUGUCCUUCACCAGAACGUCACUGCAGAAAGGAAUUGUGGCACUCACCUGCCAACAACCAACUCAGUAACCCGUCACCAUGCCUGGCUUCCUACAGGAAAAGCCGACUCCAAGUCUCCUGUCUGCCCCGAGGAGGCAUGCCCUGGAAAUGAUGGUUUGGGGAUAAGACAGAGUGUUAACCAAGAGUAUCCCUCAACCAGAGGAGCUGUCCUCCCUGCCCCCAACCUCCAUUAAAUAGAUCAACUGUUCCUCCCCAGGGGAGCCUAUCUUGCUGACAGUGGCUUUGUCUACUUCUGGAAAGCACCCUGAACCCAAAUGGUCAGAGCUGAAUAGGACAGUUUGCCAAGGGAUCCCAGACUAGCUGGAAGCGUUUAGUAGAUGCUGAAUUUUAAAUAGGUCUCACUGUAAACAGCUCACAUUUAGCAAUGGAAUUAGGGUCUCCACUUUAUGUAGAAGAAUUUAUUCCCUCCACAUCAGUGUUGGAGAACUAAAAAAAUUAUAUUCAGAGAUCCCAGGGUCUCAAGAAUGACCCAUCUGUUUGAAAAAAUAUCCUGCGUAAAAAUAAUUUAAAUACACAUUUAAUUGAAAUGACGAGGAUUUUGUUGGUAAAAGCUGUAACUUGAAGAGCUUUUCUUUGACUACUUGAACCUCUAUGGUAAUGUGUGUUUAUGAGCCAGAAAAUGUCAAGGAAACUAUCCGCAUGUGCAGUUAACUGUUAAGUAAAUUAAACUGUUUUAAACCAAUAAUCCUUUUCAUUAUUGGUUUAAACCCAAAAAGAAAAAUUCAGUUGGGAUUGAAAGAAACAAGCUACUGGCAAAAGAAUAAAUUAGUGGCUUGAGCUGUGAUCAGGGCCUCGAAGCGGGAGAAAGUUGUCAUUUUAAAUCUUGCUGAUUAGGAAAUGCCAGGCCCCAUGGAGGAAGGAAUCAAACCAACCACCAUCUCACCCGUGGUCAAAGAUCAAUUUUGGAAUCCCUAUUUUUAAUUGGAAUUUUGUAUUAAAUUCCAAA